CCUACGGGAGGCAGCAGUGAGGAAUAUUGGUCAAUGGGCGGGAGCCUGAACCAGCCAAGUCGCGUGAGGGAAGACGGUCCUAUGGAUUGUAAACCUCUUUAGGCGGGGAGCAAUGCCGGGCACGUGUGCCCGGAGGGAGAGUACCCGCAGAAUAAGCAUCGGCUAACUCCGUGCCAGCAGCCGCGGUAAUACGGAGGAUGCGAGCGUUAUCCGGAGUUAUUGGGUUUAAAGGGUGCGUAGGCGGAUUUUUAAGUCAGCGGUAAAAUGUCCGGGCUCAACCCGGGCCGGCCGUUGAAACUGGGGAUCUUGAGUGGGAGAGAAGCAUGCGGAUGGCGUGGUGUAGCGGUGAAAUGCAUAGAUAGCACGAAGAACUCCGAUGGGGAAGGCAGCAUCCCGGCGCCCGAAUGACGCUGAGGCACGAAAGCGGGGGGAUCGAACAGGAUUAGAGACCCCAGUAGUC
rnacentral:rRNA from 1 species